AUUGAACGCUGGCGGCAGGCCUAACACAUGCAAGUCGAGCGAGCGGCGGACGGGUGAGUAAUGUAUGGGGACUGCCUGAUAGAGGGGGAUAACUACUGGAAACUGUGGCUAAUACCGCAUACUAUCGGAUAACCCAUAUGGGAUUAGCUAGUUGGUGGGGUAAAGGCUCACCUAGGCGACGAUCUCUAGCUGGUCUGAGAGGAUGACCAGCCACACUGGGAAUGAGACACGGCCCAGACUCCUACGGAGGCAGCAGGGGGGAAUAUUGCACAAUGGGCGCAAGCCUGAGGCAGCCAUGCCGCGUGUAUGAAGAAGGCCUUAGGGUUGUAAAGUACUUUCAGUGGGGAGGCGUUAACCGCAGAAGAAGCACCGGCUAACUCCGUGCCAGCAGCCGCGGUAAUAC
rnacentral:rRNA from 1 species